rnacentral:rRNA from 1 species
GAGUUUGAUCCUGGCUCAGAAUCAACGCUGGCGGCGUGCCUAACACAUGCAAGUCGAACGAGAAAGUCCCGCAAGGGACAAGUAGAGUGGCGAACGGGUGAGUAACACGUGGAUAACCUGCCGUCGAGUGGGGAAUAACCUUCCGAAAGGAGGGCUAAUACCGCAUAACACCCGAGGACAUAUGUCCCCGGGUUGAAAGGAGUGAUUCGCUCGAUGAGGGGUCCGCGCCUGAUUAGCUUGUUGGUGGGGUAAUGGCUCACCAAGGCGACAAUCAGUAGCCGUCCUGAGAGGGAGCACGGCCACACUGGAACUGAGACACGGUCCAGACUCCUACGGGAGGCAGCAGUGAGGAAUUUUUGGCAAUGGGCGAAAGCCUGACCAAGCAACGCCGCGUGGGUGAUGAAGUAUUUUGGUACGUAAAACCCUUUCGGCAGGGACGAAUUCUUGACGGUACCUGCGGAAGAAGCCCCGGCUAACUCCGUGCCAGCAGCCGCGGUAAUACAAUAC